UACGUAGGGUGCAAGCGUUGUCCGGAAUUAUUGGGCGUAAAGAGCUCGUAGGCGGUUUGUCGCGUCUGCCGUGAAAGUCCGGGGCUCAACUCCGGAUCUGCGGUGGGUACGGGCAGACUAGAGUGAUGUAGGGGAGACUGGAAUUCCUGGUGUAGCGGUGAAAUGCGCAGAUAUCAGGAGGAACACCGAUGGCGAAGGCAGGUCUCUGGGCACUAACUGACGCUGAGGAGCGAAAGCAUGGGGAGCGAACAGG
rnacentral:rRNA from 1 species